CGGUGGAUGAUGUGGAUAAUUCGAUGCAACGCGAAAACCUUACCUACCCUUGACAUGUCCGGAAUCCCGAAGAGAUUUGGGAGUGCUCGCAAGAGAACCGGAACACAGGUGCUGCAUGGCUGUCGUCAGCUCGUGUCGUGAGAUGUUGGGUUAAGUCCCGCAACGAGCGCAACCCUUGUCAUUAGUUGCCAUCAUUUGGUUGGGCACUCUAAUGAGACUGCCGGUGACAAACCGGAGGAAGGUGGGGAUGACGUCAAGUCCUCAUGGCCCUUAUGGGUAGGGCUUCACACGUCAUACAAUGGUCGGUACAGAGGGUUGCCAACCCGCGAGGGGGAGCUAAUCCCACAAAGCCGAUCGUAGUCCGGAUCGCAGUCUGCAACUCGACUGCGUGAAGUCGGAAUCGCUAGUAAUCGUGGAUCAGCAUGUCACGGUGAAUACGUUCCCGGGUCUU
rnacentral:rRNA from 1 species